GAUGAACGCUGGCGGCGUGCCUAAUACAUGCAAGUCGAGCGAACAGACGAGGAGCUUGCUCCUCUGACGUUAGCGGCGGACGGGUGAGUAACACGUGGAUAACCUACCUAUAAGACUGGGAUAACUUCGGGAAACCGGAGCUAAUACCGGAUAAUAUAUUGAACCGCAUGGUUCAAUAGUUAAAGACGGUUUUGCUGUCACUUAUAGAUGGAUCCGCGCCGCAUUAGCUAGUUGGUAAGGUAACGGCUCACCAAGGCAACGAUGCGUAGCCGACCUGAGAGGGUGAUCGGCCACACUGGAACUGAGACACGGUCCAGACUCCUACGGGAGGCAGCAGUAGGGAAUCUUCCGCAAUGGGCGAAAGCCUGACGGAGCAACGCCGCGUGAGUGAUGAAGGUCUUCGGAUCGUAAAACUCUGUUAUUAGGGAAGAACAAAUGUGUAAGUAACUAUGCACGUCUUGACGGUACCUAAUCAGAAAGCCACGGCUAACUACGUG
rnacentral:rRNA from 1 species